GACGAACGCUGGCGGCGUGCUUAACACAUGCAAGUCGAACGGAAAGGCCCUGCUUUUGUGGGGUGCUCGAGUGGCGAACGGGUGAGUAACACGUGAGUAACCUGCCCUUGACUUUGGGAUAACUUCAGGAAACUGGGGCUAAUACCGGAUAGGAGCUCCUGCUGCAUGGUGGGGGUUGGAAAGUUUCGGCGGUUGGGGAUGGACUCGCGGCUUAUCAGCUUGUUGGUGGGGUAGUGGCUUACCAAGGCUUUGACGGGUAGCCGGCCUGAGAGGGUGACCGGCCACAUUGGGACUGAGAUACGGCCCAGACUCCUACGGGAGGCAGCAGUGGGGAAUAUUGCACAAUGGGCGGAAGCCUGAUGCAGCAACGCCGCGUGCGGGAUGACGGCCUUCGGGUCGUAAACCGCUUUCGCCUGUGACGAAGCGUGAGUGACGGUAAUGGGUAAAGAAGCACCGGCUAACUACGUGCCAGCAGCCGCGGUGAUACGUAGGGUGCGAGCGUUGUCCGGAUUUAUUGGGCGUAAAGGGCUCGUAGGUGGUUGAUCGCGUCGGAAGUGUAAUCUUGGGGCUUAACCCUGAGCGUGCUUUCGAUACGGGUUGACUUGAGGAAGGUAGGGGAGAAUGGAAUUCCUGGUGGAGCGGUGGAAUGCGCAGAUAUCAGGAGGAACACCAGUGGCGAAGGCGGUUCUCUGGGCCUUUCCUGACGCUGAGGAGCGAAAGCGUGGGGAGCGAACAGGCUUAGAUACCUUGGUAGUCCACGCUGUAAACGGUGGGUACUAGGUGUGGGGUCCAUUCCACGGGUUCCGUGCCGUAGCUAACGCUUUAAGUACCCCGCCUGGGGAGUACGGCCGCAAGGCUAAAACUCAAAGGAAUUGACGGGGCCCCGCACAAGCGGCGGAGCAUGCGGAUUAAUUCGAUGCAACGCGUAGAACCUUACCUGGGUUUGACAUGGAUCGGGAGUGCUCAGAGAUGGGUGUGCCUCUUUUGGGGUCGGUUCACAGGUGGUGCAUGGCUGUCGUCAGCUCGUGUCGUGAGAUGUUGGGUUAAGUCCCGCAACGAGCGCAACCCUUGUUCACUGUUGCCAGCACGUUAUGGUGGGGACUCAGUGGAGACCGCCGGGGUCAACUCGGAGGAAGGUGGGGAUGACGUCAAGUCAUCAUGCCCCUUAUGUCCAGGGCUUCACGCAUGCUACAAUGGCUGGUACAGAGAGUGGCGAGCCUGUGAGGGUGAGCGAAUCUCGGAAAGCCGGUCUCAGUUCGGAUUGGGGUCUGCAACUCGACCUCAUGAAGUCGGAGUCGCUAGUAAUCGCAGAUCAGCAACGCUGCGGUGAAUACGUUCCCGGG
rnacentral:rRNA from 1 species